rnacentral:rRNA from 1 species
GACGAACGCUGGCGGCGCGCCUAACACAUGCAAGUCGAACGGAGCAAAGUCGACUGAAGUUUUCGGACGGAUUUUGAUUUUGCUUAGUGGCGAACGGGUGAGUAACACGUGAGGAACCUGCCCUUCAGUGGGGGACAACAGUUGGAAACGACUGCUAAUACCGCAUAAGACCACAGUACCGCAUGGUACAGUGAUCAAAGGAUUUAUUCGCUGAAGGAUGGCCUCGCGUCCGAUUAGCUAGAUGGCGGGGUAACGGCCCACCAUGGCGACGAUCAGUAGCCGGUCUGAGAGGAUGAACGGCCACAUUGGGACUGAGAUACGGCCCAGACUCCUACGGGAGGCAGCAGUGGGGAAUAUUGGGCAAUGGGGGAAACCCUGACCCAGCAACGCCGCGUGAAGGAAGAAGGCCUCGG